AUGGAGGGUGUCGAAGAGAAGAAAAAGAAGGUUCCUGCUAUGCCAGAAGCCCUUAAGAAAAAGCAAAGGAAUUUUGCAGAGCUGAAGAUCAAGCACCUGAGAAAGAAGUUUGCCGAAAAGAUGCUUCAAAAGGCAAGGAGGAAGCUUAUCUAUGAAAAAGCUAAACACAGUCACAAGGAAUACAGGCAGAUGAACAGAACUGAGAUUCAAAUGGCUAGGAGGGCAAGAAAAGCUGGCAACUUCUAUGUUCUUACAGAACCCAAACUGUCAUUUUCCCUAAGGAUCAGAGGUAUCAAUGGUGUGAGCCCAAAGGUCUGAAAGGUGGUGGAGUUUCUUCACCUUUGUCAGAUCUUCAAUGGAAUCUUUGUUAAGCUCAGCAAGGCUUCAAUUAACAUGGUGAGGAUUGGAGAACCAUACAUUUCAUGGCGGUACCCAAACCUAAAGUAAGUAAAUGAACUCAUCUACAAGUGUCAUUAUAGCAAAAUCGAAAAGAAGCAAAUUGCCAUGACAGAUAACACUUUGAUUGCUCAAUCUCUUGGUAAAUAUGAUAUCAUCUGCAUGGAGGAUCUGAUUCAUGAGAUCUAUACUGUUGGAAAAGGCUUCAAAGAAGCCAAUAACUUCCUGUGACCCUUCAGAUUAUCCUCUCCACAAGGUGGAAUGAAGAAAAAGACCUCCUAUUUUGUGGAAGGUAGAAAUGCUGGCAAUAGGGAAGAGAAGAGCUACAGGCUUAUUAGAAGGAUGAAC
rnacentral:lncRNA from 1 species